rnacentral:lncRNA from 1 species
UUCCAUGGAAGCUUUUAGCUGAGCUCGAAGCUUCGACUGUGUACUUGUCAGCAAGGUCUUCUCUUUCUCAAAAUCACUUGAUUGCUGCUCCAUAGCACCGGUGGCAAUAUCCAGGUCUUCUUGUAGGGCAUGCAUGGCAACACGGUUCUCUCUCUCAAUCUCCUUACGAGCUGACCUAAUUCUGGCCUCAAAUCUCGCCUUAUGGUGAACCAAUUCUUCUCUAGCCCUUUCCAAAUCAUUAUUUAAGAUGUGC